ACGGGAGGCAGCAGUGGGGAAUAUUGGGCAGUGGGCGCAAGCCUGACCCAGCAACGCCGCGUGAAGGAAGAAGGCUUUCGGGUUGUAAACUUCUUUUAUCAGGGACGAAGAAAGUGACGGUACCUGAUGAAUAAGCCACGGCUAGCUACGUGCCAGCAGCCGCGGUAAUACGUAGGUGGCAAGCGUUGUCCGGAUUUACUGGGUGUAAAGGGCGCGUAGGCGGGAUAGCAAGUCAGGUGUGAAAUCUAUGGGCUCAACCCAUAAACUGCACUUGAAACUGUUAUUCUUGAGUGUCGGAGAGGUAGAUGGAAUUCCUAGUGUAGCGGUGAAAUGCGUAGAUAUUCGGAGGAACACCAGUGGCGAAGGCGGCCUACUGGGCUUUAACUGACGCUGAGGCUCGAAAGUGUGGGGAGCAAACAGGAUUAGAUACCCUGGUA
rnacentral:rRNA from 1 species